GCGGGGCGUGUCUUUGUACGAAAAUAGACCACUUCUCAUAGGUAUAUAAAUACCUGCCGCAUUCAGCAUAUUGCAGUAACACGCACAGUCGCCUCUAAGAAGAAAAUGCGUUCACUAUUGAUUUUGUUGUGCUGCAUCGUCUUCGUCGCUGCGUUUGCUGAUGCACAACUUGUGGGCGCUGAUCCUUGCACUUGGGGGCCUGAUUAUUGGUGCUCCAGCCUCGCAAACGCCCGGAAAUGCGACGCUGUCGCAACCUGCCAUCGCUUAGGAUGGAAGGAACCAAUAGGAUGAAUUAACCAAAAAAAGAAGCGACAUGAUGAAUAUUCCAUCAACAACGUAAAGCCAAAUUGAUUCACAAUCCAUUUCCUCCUUAAAUCGAUGGGAAACCCUGCAAUUGGAUUUUUUUAAAUAUUUUGAAUAACGGUGUAAUCAGAUAACUAAUUCAAAGCUUGUCGCAUACAAUAAAACGCGUAGUUCUUUUCA